AAGUACUAGUCAGAGGAGAAAACUUUACAAGAUCUGGUCUUUACAAGAUGCUGAUAACUGGAACCAGUAGCUGCAAACCAGAUGAGAUACCUGUCACUGAGGUGUUAAAUCGCACACACAUGAAAUUCUGUUUACCACCAAGUCGCAAAGAAGCUAAGAGCAUAUGUAUAAAGAAAAAUGGGUUUCAGUGUUCACCCCCUGUGCCACUAUAUUAUGUCACUCUCCCAGUAUGUUCUGGGAUAUUUCCAAAUGUCUCCUGGAAAAGUGGAGGACGCAACAUGACCAUACGUGGGAGGCAUCUAAAUGUCACA